rnacentral:rRNA from 1 species
UGGUUCUGGGUUUCAAAAGGGGGGUCUUGAGUGAAACCAACCGGGAUUGCCUUAGUAACGGCGAGUGAAGCGGCAAAAGCUCAAAUUUGAAAUCUGGUACCUUCGGUGCCCGAGUUGUAAUUUGGAGAGGGCAACUUUGGGGCCGUUCCUUGUCUAUGUUCCUUGGAACAGGACGUCAUAGAGGGUGAGAAUCCCGUGUGGCGAGGAGUGCGGUUCUUUGUAAAGUGCCUUCGAAGAGUCGAGUUGUUUGGGAAUGCAGCUCUAAGUGGGUGGUAAAUUCCAUCUAAAGCUAAAUAUUGGCGAGAGACCGAUAGCGAACAAGUACAGUGAUGGAAAGAUGAAAAGAACUUUGAAAAGAGAGUGAAAAAGUACGUGAAAUUGUUGAAAGGGAAGGGCAUUUGAUCAGACAUGGUGUUUUGUGCCCUCUGCUCCUUGUGGGUAGGGGAAUCUCGCAUUUCACUGGGCCAGCAUCAGUUUUGGUGGCAGGAUAAAUCCAUAGGAAUGUAGCUUGCCUCGGUAAGUAUUAUAGCCUGUGGGAAUACUGCCAGCUGGGACUGAGGACUGCGACGUAAGUCAAGGAUGCUGGCAUAAUGGUUAUGCGACCGUCCAGCCAC